CAAGUAAAGCAGGGGGAUUUGCAAUGAUUUCCCCUGGCUGUAGCUCGAGCUGUAUCUGCUCUGCUGGCUGAAGUUACUGACGCAAGCCCACUGCGCAAGUUAACCCACAGAAAUGCUGCCACAUGGAAAACUGGGAACUCUGUAUAAGUUAAGAGCACCUGAGAUCUGAGGCGUCUGCUCAACAACACUGAACAUAUCUGUUGGCCUCCGUUUAGACUAUGUGGUUCAGCUCAUUAUUUGGAUGUUUCCAAGGAAGUCUGAUCAAAGUUCUGAUUUUACGGAUCGUCUCUCUCAGCUCAUCACAUAUCGCCCUUAAGAAAGAAUCAACCACAGCGCUGGAGAAAAGUAUCAACACAUAUCCAGGUCGCUUGCUCUGUGUGAUUUCUUGGGAUUUAACUCAACUCAACUUUACUCCUUCCUUGGAAGCCGCAGCCUGGUGCUCCUAAUAAGACAAAACUCCAGGACUGAGCUGACACCUCCCUACUCCCCAUGUCAAUCAUUAUGCCGUACAGGUUUGAGAAAGAGGGAUUUACCAGCGACUUGACUGCUUUGAGG